GCCAUAUACAACGAGUUCUCAACUUUGAACAUCCAAAUAGAUAAAGGUUUCACUGCUAAGCUUUCAGGAUAUGGUUGUGUUGGCUUCAAUACCGAGGAGAUAUCUAAUGCACAUGUGGUAUGUUCUUGUAUGAGUGCAAUUUAGAAGUUUAUGUUGUCCAGCACAACUUAUGCCUCGUUUCUUUUCAUUGGUUCCAAACUUCCAAAAGUAUAGUAUUAUCAUCAACACUACAAGUUUGCAUGGGUUCUCUUACAUAUUUUAUUUUGUUAUAAGUAACAUUGGGUCAGUUAACAAGAAUAUAUGUAUAAUAUUGUGAUAUAAAACCUGCACCAUACCUGUUAAUUAAUCGACGUCAUGUUGUUCACUAGAGAUCUGUUUUCUUCGGUCUGCAGCAAACCAUUCGGUGGAGACCUUGGAGAAGGGUUUACUCACUCAGUUUGUCUAUUGCUGCAACAAGUCGGGGCUGGACCGUUCCAAAGUAAAUGUAAAUGGAGGCGCGAUUGCCCUUGGACACCCUUUGGGUGCAACAGGUGCCCGGUGCGUGGCUACUCUUCUAAAUGAAAUGAAGUGCCGGGGCAGAGACUGCAGAUUUGGUGUUGUCACCAUUUGUAUCGGAUCUGGAAUGGGGGCAGCAGCUGUGUUCGAGCUAUGUUCGGCCCGGCUGGAGGUAUCGACCAUCACUCGUCACUGUAACCUGAUGGUGAUCGGCGACCGUGAGCUUCCAUGUUAUUGCGUUCUGAUACUUGAGACUUUUAUUAUAACUAUGUAUGAGAUAUUGUCUCUUAUUAGUACUGGAUGAUGAGAUGUGUCUUAUUAUGACUAUGGAUGAGACUUUUGUGAUGUAAUUGAUGAGACUAUGGAUGAGACUUUUGUGAUGUAAUUGAUGAGACUAUGAAUUUAAAUAUUGUUAUGUGAUUGUGUGUG